CCUACGGGGGGCUGCAGUGGGGAAUAUUGGACAAUGGGGGGAACCCUGAUCCAGCCAUGCCGCGUGUGUGAAGAAGGCCCUCGGGUUGUAAAGCACUUUCAGUGAGGAAGAACGCCUGGUGGUUAAUACCCAUCAGGAAAGACAUCACUCACAGAAGAAGCACCGGCUAACUCCGUGCCAGCAGCCGCGGUAAUACGGAGGGUGCGAGCGUUAAUCGGAAUUACUGGGCGUAAAGCGCGCGUAGGUGGCUUGAUAAGCCGGUUGUGAAAGCCCCGGGCUCAACCUGGGAACGGCAUCCGGAACUGUCAAGCUAGAGUGCAGGAGAGGAAAGUAGAAUUCCCGGUGUAGCGGUGAAAUGCGUAGAGAUCGGGAGGAAUACCAGUGGCGAAGGCGGCCUUCUGGACUGACACUGACACUGAGGUGCGAAAGCGUGGGUAGCAAACAGGAUUAGAUACCCCAGUAGUC
rnacentral:rRNA from 1 species